GCCUGGCGCCCGAGCUGGUUUCAGCUGGGAAGAUCAAAGAUUGAAGGGGAAGCAGGUCACGGGGCGUAGCUACUUCACACGCCGGCUGCUAAGACUGCUAGGGGAGUUUCUACUAAACCGGCGAUCGAGCGUAUUAAUCCGAAUGGGGUGAAAGGAAAGAAGAAAGAACACCCAGGUACAACGUGAGCAGGGCUUGAUCUGUCUACUCUUUGCUGCCGUGACCAUCUAAUGGAGUCAUAGUUCCCAGGAAACGUCUUCAUGGGGUGCUGGACUGUGGCAUCUGGCACCGACUGAUGUCUCCAUGGAAGGAGCUUCCGCAUCAGGGCCUUCAAGGACGUCAACCCCAGGUGGUAUCUUGUUGAAGACACCACCUUUUGACCUGUCGCAGGAGCUCUGAAAAGCAUCUGACCAUCCCUGCCGCAUCUUCUCUGUGCCUUCAGCCUCCAGGCGAGGACAGAGCUUGGAUCUUGUGGCCACAGUCACCACCGGCUUUUUGAGGUCUGCCACGUCCUGUCUGACAAAUACCAUCCCAUUUACCUGUGGA